rnacentral:misc_RNA from 1 species
UCAAACUUGGUCAUUUAGAGGAAGUAAAAGUCGUAACAAGGUCUCCGUUGGUGAACCAGCGGAGGGAUCAUUACCGAGUCUAAACAACUCAUCAACCCUGUGAACAUACCUAAAACGUUGCUUCGGCGGGAACAGACGGCCCUGUAACACGGGCCGCCCCCGCCAGAGGACCCCCUAACUCUGUUUGUAUUAUGUUUUUUCUGAGUAAACAAGCAAAUAAAUUAAAACUUUCAACAACGGAUCUCUUGGCUCUGGCAUCGAUGAAGAACGCAGC